rnacentral:lncRNA from 1 species
AUGUGGCAAUGGGGGUCAUCGGUCCCCUGGCUCCUGUGCCCAGGGUCAGGGGGAGUGAGACACUUUGGCUCCCAGCAGUGUCUCAGCAUUCCAGCCCCUACUGCUUUGGCCCACACCCUCCUGUCAGAUUUGAAAAGUAGGAGCUGUCUCCCUCUAGGCUUCAGGAACCUGAGCAGCUCUGGGAAGAGGACAGAUUUGAGCCAACUUGAACCCAGACGCCUUGGCUAUGGCCAGUCAGUCCUCAGGUCCCUAGGAAGACGACUGCCCUUGUCACUGUCCAUGCGUUUGGUCCCCCAGCUGCCCAGGCUCCUCUCUGUACCCUGUGUCCUCCAACUGGCCUCACUGCCCCGCAGGCUCCCCCAUCAUCUUCCUCUCACCCACCUCUGGCCCUGCCGCAAGGAUGCCUGGGGAGUGGGAAUGGGCAGGGAGCGGAAUGCAUUGCUCCCAUGUGAUCUGCCAUGCUUCAGAGACGAGGCCUUGGGCCUGAACUCCAGCCAGGGCGAGGAGGCUGGGGUGGCUUGGCUGCUCCUGCUGCUGCCCCCUUCCCCUCCCUACGCAUGGUACCGGUUCAGCAACUCCAUUCAUUCCUCAAACAUCCACUGGUGCAGACUCCGUGCCAGGCAUGACGCCAAGAACCAGGAAUGCAAGGAUGAAUGGGACCCAGCAGCUGGCCUCUGGGGCUCACCGGGAAGAGGACAAAUCGCAGACAGUGGGACGGGGUGGGGACAGGGCGCUCGCCGGACUGUGAGUGGAUGGGGAGACUUCCCAGAGGAGGCAACGUCUGGGUCAUGCACGACGUACAGGUAUCGGCCGGCAGGAAAGCAGAGCUGUGGGUGGGAGUGGAGGCAGGGAGGAUGUGAGGCGGCAGAGACGCCAGCUGACUUUCGGGAACCACAAGGCUGUGUUAGGAGAGCCAGGGUGCGGCUGCAUCCCGCCCCCUCAGGCUGUGCUGCCCCAGGACCUGCCUCCUUCCUCCAACCUCUUCCCACAAAACCCUGGCCCCUGCAGCCCACGGGGUCCCACUCAGGUGAGUGGCGCAUGAAUUCAUGUGUAGUUUUUCCAGAUGACCCACAGGUGCCAUAG